CAGCAGCCGCGGUAAUACGUAGGGUGCGAGCGUUAAUCGGAAUUACUGGGCGUAAAGCGUGCGCAGGCGGUUAUGUAAGACAGUUGUGAAAUCCCCGGGCUCAACCUGGGAACUGCAUCUGUGACUGCAUAGCUAGAGUACGGUAGAGGGGGAUGGAAUUCCGCGUGUAGCAGUGAAAUGCGUAGAUAUGCGGAGGAACACCGAUGGCGAAGGCAAUCCCCUGGACCUGUACUGACGCUCAUGCACGAAAGCGUGGGGAGCAAACAGGAUUAGAUACCCCGGUAGUCCCUGUCUCUUAUAA
rnacentral:rRNA from 1 species